rnacentral:lncRNA from 1 species
GGAGCUGCAUUUUUUUGACUGAGCACCCAUAUUUAGCUAUAAGGACUGAAGUAGGGGCCCUGCUGGAGUUGCUCUAACAUAAUACGUGAUCUCUCCAUCUACUUACUUCUAUUGGACCCAUAGGACCAGCGCUCACAACAAAUCCAAUAAGAUAAGAUCUAAUAAUGAAACCCGGGAUAGUCUCUAACAUAGCAUCUAUAUGGAAGACCUAUUUUGAAUGUCAAAAGAAGCAUACCUCAAAUUUAAGUAUCCUCUAUCCUGAAGACCGAUUGUAAAAAGGUUAUCUUUGAGUCUUAUUGUUGGAGAAGAUAAAAAAUAGGUAUUGAGCACUUUAACUACAACGUUACCUAAAGGACAAAUACGUCUGGUGUUUUGGGUCCCCGUCGUUGGUGAGUCAAGCAUCUCAAUUUCUUUCCCACCUUUUCGGCGUAUCCACUUCAUCUUCGGUUAACUUCUAAUGUUGUGUUUCAUUUGGAGAUAGGAAAGGAUGGGAUGAUGCCAGUCUAAUUUUCUGAGACGGGACGUCGUCAUCUCCUUGUUUGGCUGAGAGGACUAAUUUUCUAAGACACGACAUUGUCUAUUCACUGGUCUGAAAAACCAUGACUGAAAAUAUGGUUCCCUGAUUUAUCGUGAGAGAAAAAC